AACAGGAUUAGAUACCCUGGUAGUCCACGCCGUAAACGAUGUCGACUUGGAGGUUGUGCCCUUGAGGCGUGGCUUCCGGAGCUAACGCGUUAAGUCGACCGCCUGGGGAGUACGGCCGCAAGGUUAAAACUCAAAUGAAUUGACGGGGGCCCGCACAAGCGGUGGAGCAUGUGGUUUAAUUCGAUGCAACGCGAGGAACCUUACCUGGUCUUGACAUCCACGGAAGUUUUCAGAGAUGAGAAUGUGCCUUCGGGAACCGUGAGACAGGUGCUGCAUGGCUGUCGUCAGCUCGUGUUGUGAAAUGUUGGGUUAAGUCCCGCAACGAGCGCAACCCUUAUCCUUUGUUGCCAGCGGUCCGGCCGGGAACUCAAAGGAGACUGCCAGUGAUAAACUGGAGGAAGGUGGGGAUGACGUCAAGUCAUCAUGGCCCUUACGACCAGGGCUACACACGUGCUACAAUGGCGCAUACAAAGAGAAGCGACCUCGCGAGAGCAAGCGGACCUCAUAAAGUGCGUCGUAGUCCGGAUUGGAGUCUGCAACUCGACUCCAUGAAGUCGGAAUCGCUAGUAAUCGUGGAUCAGAAUGCCACGGUGAAUACGUUCCCGGGCCUUGUACACACCGCCCGUCACACCAUGGGAGUGGGUUGCAAAAGAAGUAGGUAGCUUAACCUUCGGGAGGGCGCUUACCACUUUGUGAUUCAUGACUGGCGUGAAGUCGUAACAAGGUAACC
rnacentral:rRNA from 1 species